rnacentral:pre_miRNA from 2 species
GGGUAGAAAGUGCCUUUUACAACAUGCUGCCUCUAUGAGAUCCACUUAUGUUUGUAAAUGCAUUUUCUGGCCCGUAACC